CUUGACCUUAGACUUCUAAGUCUCCAGGACUGCAAGUCGACAAAUUUCUUAUGUUCAAGCCACUCAGUCUAUGUUGUUUUGUCAUGGCGGCCCUCGCUGACUAACACAAACUCUUUCUAGCAACCUUGUGAUAUGCUUGGAUUUUCCACAAAGUAUGAAGGAGGAUGGAGCGAGAAUGUCCAAGGAGGAGGAGAGCUCAUUGCGUUUCAGCUGUCCUCGCCUUUGGCCCCAUCCUGUGGUCAU